GUAGGGAGCAAGCGUUGUUCGGAAUUAUUGGGCGUAAAGAGCGCGUAGGCGGCUAGGCAAGUCUGAUGUGAAAUCCCACAGCUCAACUGUGGAACUGCAUUGGAAACUGCUUAGCUGGAGUGCGGGAGAGGAGAGUGGAAUUCCCAGUGUAGAGGUGAAAUUCGUAGAUAUUGGGAGAAACACCGGUGGCGAAGGCGGCUCUCUGGACCGCAACUGACGCUGAGGCGCGAAAGCUAGGGGAGCGAACGGGAUUAGAUACCCCGGUAGUCCUAGCCGUAAACGAUGGGCACUAGGUGUGGGAGGUAUCGACCCCUUCUGUGCCGCAGCUAACGCAUUAAGUGCCCCCGCCUGGGAGUACGGUCGCAAGCUA
rnacentral:rRNA from 1 species